AGUCAGCUCACCGCCGGGGCCCUCUGCAGGCGGCUGAGGCCGCCAGCGCAGCACCACGCGCUCGAACUGGCCGCGGAGCCCGUCGAGAGACACGAGAAGCGCGCCAUCGGCGGAACUGCCCAGCACCUCUGGCUUGGGGUGGCGGGACGCAGCCACCCGGUCGACGCCUUCAGGACUCCAGGCAUCUGAGGGCUCUGUCUCCCCAGUGGCCUCAGGACAGAGCAAGGCCCCCAGCAGGUGCCUCGAGACUGCCACACACCUGCCAGAAGCAUUCAGAGGAGUCUGUGAGCCCUGAGCCUGGGCUCCUGAGGAGGAGGAUCCAAGGCUGGGAAACCAGGGCCCUUCCCUAACCUCUGGCCAGCCAUACCUGUGUUGGCCCUGACAGAAGCUGGGUAGCUGACUGCCCGGCCCCGCUCCGCUGUGACAGUCACCACAUAUUCUACGCCUGGCAUCAGGUCAGUCAGCAGCAUCCCGUCUGCUUCAGGGGGCACUUCCAGCCGCACCCUCUGGUUGCCGGCACUGACGUAGGACACCACAAAUCGGUCCACCUCAGCCUGGGGACGCAGCCAGCCAAGCUCCAGUGUUGUCGGUGUCACAGCCACCACUCGGAGGUCCUGGGGCCCAUCGAUCACUAGCCAGGUUAAAGAGGAGGGCUCAGGCUCAGAGAAGACCCAGAAUGUGACAGACGCCCAUACCGAGAGCAGAAUGGAUGAGCUAAGAACAUGGCCAAGCCUGGCACAGGCCAACUUGGCACCACUACCCUGGCUCUGAGUGAGGGAGAAAGUCUAGGGCUUCAACUGGAAAGCGGCGCCCUUGACAACACCAAGGAUCGGUUUGUAUUUAUUUACUCAGAGCAGGAGACAACUGCUGCCCUAAAAGCUCCUCUUAUCUCAAGUGUUUAUUUUAAUUCUUCUUUCCCUGAAGUUUCUUAAGAAACUUCCUUUUCGAAGUCCCACCCUUUCAAGAUUAGAGCUAUGUAAAUAAUAUAUACAGAGAAGAAGAGAGUGGGAGAAACACUUUAAAAUGUUAGCAGUGCUUGUUUUAGUGAGGAGCAGCCAGGAAUUGUUUUUCUUUUCUCUAGUUGCCAAAUUCUUGUCUCGUGAUUAAAGUAUUUUUAU